AUUGAACGCUGGCGGCAUGCCUUACACAUGCAAGUCGAACGGUAACGGGCCUUCGGGUGCCGACGAGUGGCGAACGGGUGAGUAAUACAUCGGAACGUGCCCGAUCGUGGGGGAUAACGAGGCGAAAGCUUUGCUAAUACCGCAUACGAUCUACGGAUGAAAGCAGGGGACCGCAAGGCCUUGCGCGGACGGAGCGGCCGAUGGCAGAUUAGGUAGUUGGUGGGAUAAAAGCUUACCAAGCCGACGAUCUGUAGCUGGUCUGAGAGGAUGAUCAGCCACACUGGGACUGAGACACGGCCCAGACUCCUACGGGAGGCAGCAGUGGGGAAUUUUGGACAAAGGGCGCAAGCCUGAUCCAGCCAUGCCGCGUGCAGGAUGAAGGCCUUCGGGUUGUAAACUGCUUUUGUACGGAACGAGAAGCCUUCUUUUAAUACAGGAGGGUCAUGACGGUACCGUAAGAAUAAGCACCGGCUAACUACGUG
rnacentral:rRNA from 1 species